GAUGAACGCUGGCGGCGUGCCUAAUACAUGCAAGUCGAGCGAACGGACGAGAAGCUUGCUUUUCUGAUGUUAGCGGCGGACGGGUGAGUAACACGUGGAUAACCUACCUAUAAGACUGGGAUAACUUCGGGAAACCGGAGCUAAUACCGGAUAAUAUUUUGAACCGCAUGGUUCAAAAGUGAAAGACGGUCUUGCUGUCACUUAUAGAUGGAUCCGCGCUGCAUUAGCUAGUUGGUAAGGUAACGGCUUACCAAGGCAACGAUGCAUAGCCGACCUGAGAGGGUGAUCGGCCACACUGGAACUGAGACACGGUCCAGACUCCUACGGGAGGCAGCAGUAGGGAAUCUUCCGCAAUGGGCGAAAGCCUGACGGAGCAACGCCGCGUGAGUGAUGAAGGUCUUCGGAUCGUAAAACUCUGUUAUUAGGGAAGAACAUAUGUGUAAGUAACUGUGCACAUCUUGACGGUACCUAAUCAGAAAGCCACGGCUAACUACGUGCCAGCAGCCGCGGUAAUACGUAGGUGGCAAGCGUUAUCCGGAAUUAUUGGGCGUAAAGCGCGCGUAGGCGGUUUUUUAAGUCUGAUGUGAAAGCCCACGGCUCAACCGUGGAGGGUCAUUGGAAACUGGAAAACUUGAGUGCAGAAGAGGAAAGUGGAAUUCCAUGUGUAGCGGUGAAAUGCGCAGAGAUAUGGAGGAACACCAGUGGCGAAGGCGACUUUCUGGUCUGUAACUGACGCUGAUGUGCGAAAGCGUGGGGAUCAAACAGGAUUAGAUACCCUGGUAGUCCACGCCGUAAACGAUGAGUGCUAAGUGUUAGGGGGUUUCCGCCCCUUAGUGCUGCAGCUAACGCAUUAAGCACUCCGCCUGGGGAGUACGACCGCAAGGUUGAAACUCAAAGGAAUUGACGGGGACCCGCACAAGCGGUGGAGCAUGUGGUUUAAUUCGAAGCAACGCGAAGAACCUUACCAAAUCUUGACAUCCUUUGACAACUCUAGAGAUAGAGCUUUCCCCUUCGGGGGACAAAGUGACAGGUGGUGCAUGGUUGUCGUCAGCUCGUGUCGUGAGAUGUUGGGUUAAGUCCCGCAACGAGCGCAACCCUUAAGCUUAGUUGCCAUCAUUAAGUUGGGCACUCUAAGUUGACUGCCGGUGACAAACCGGAGGAAGGUGGGGAUGACGUCAAAUCAUCAUGCCCCUUAUGAUUUGGGGUACACACGUGCUACAAUGGACACUACAAAGGGCAGCGAAACCGCGAGGUCGCGCAAAUCCCAUAAAGUUGUUCUCAGUUCGGAUAGUAGUCUGCAACUCGACUACACGAAGCUGGAAUCGCUAGUAAUAGUAGAUCCACCUGCUACGGUGAAUAACGUCCCGGGGUCU
rnacentral:rRNA from 1 species